rnacentral:rRNA from 1 species
UACGAAGGGUGCAAGCGUUGUUCGGAUUUAUUGGGCGUAAAGAGCUCGUAGGCGGGAAUGAAAGUCAGGUGUGAAAUCCCGGGGCCUAACCCCGGAACUGCGCCUGAAACUCCAUUUCUAGAAUGUCGGAGAGGGAAGUGGAAUAUCGCAUGUAGGGGUAAAAUCCGUAGAGAUGCGAUGGAACACCAGAGGCGAAGGCGACUUCCUGGACGACUAUUGACGCUGAGGAGCGAAAGCGUGGGGAGCAAACAGG